UCUAAAACCAAUACCACAAGCAUAUUUAAGUUUGACAUACAAACACAAAAUUAAGACAUGUAGUAAAUAAUUUCAAUAUGUAUGUAAGAGUGGUUUUUCAUCUAGUGAUGAAGGAGCACCAAUUUCGAAGCUGGAAAUUGUUGAGGCGGAAGUAACAUCCCAAGGUGCUCCCAUCACUUCAUUUCUGUCAUAUUCAUUCUCUUGUUGGACGAUCAAGUUUUCGGAUUUUAUAAUCCUCUCCAACACCAUUGUGACUUCUUUCAUCGUAGGCCUUUCUUUCCCAUUUAACCUCAAGCAGCUCCUAGCCAAGCUAGCUACCAUCAACACUUCCUCUCUUUCCCCUUGCUUCACAACCUGAGGAUCAAGAAUAUCAAACAGACAGUUGCUCUCCAUGGCCAUUAUGAAAUAUGUGGCUAAACUUCUGCCUUCUUCUGAUCUUGUGAACGAGAUUGCCUUCUGCCCAGUAAGUAGCUCAACAAGAACUACACCAAAGCUAUAGACGUCACUCUUGUCUGUGAAUUUGGUUGAUUGGAAGAACUCUGGAUCCAAGUAUCCUAUAGUGGGUUAUAAUUGCAUCAACGGUCUAGUUUUGCCAAUGGGACUCCAUCUCCUCUUGAAGCUACAGAACUCCCACUUUUAUUAGAUGUUGCAGGUUCAAUUCCUCGAAAGGGAAGUCAAUCUCAAAUUCCUAGAAAAUUUGUCCUAGGUGGAUUAAAAUAAAAAAUUUACUAUUUUAUUUAAAAAAAAAAUUCACACUCACUCUCUGCUAAUGGAUGGUGGGUUGAUGAGGUGACUAAACUUUGCCACUUGUUGAGGGGUUGGGGUGAUUUCCAUACUACUACAAGAAUAAGCACCCUACCAAAAUAAGAAAUACUCUAGUAUUUAAGUUAGUAAAUAUCUGAGGAGAAUAAUAUAUAUAAAAAAAGAGUUAGUAAAUAUACUAGGAGAAUAAUGUAUAAAAACAAGAGGUGUAGUAGAGUGUCUAGAGGGAAAAGUGUGUACAACAGGGUAGGAGGGGGGAUUGUGGAGCAGGGGAAUAACAAUAUGUAUAACAGCAGAGGUGUGUGUAGAAGAAGAGGAGAAAUAUGUGUAGGAGGAGAGGAACAAUGCUGUUUGGUGGCUUUUUGUGACCUCUUAUGCUCUGUGUGAUUCUGUCCUUAUGUGGGUGGCCUGGGGUGUUUAUAUCCUUGGCCCUUAAGACCAUGUGGUUUACCUAAUGAGAAAUGGAGGAGAAGAAAUACCUUUUAAUUAUGCGCAUGUAACUGCAAAAUAAGUUAUUAAGUGUACGUGCCACACUAUACCCUCUGUAACACCUAGAUAAACCACAGAGUUGAUCAGUAAACCAUGCCAGAAGAAUCUAUAGAGUAGCGAAUGUAACACCUAGAUAACCAGGAGUUUGCCUUGACAAAUACCAGAAAGAUAAGGAUUUCCUUCGAAACCUGGAUUGCAAGAACAUUGAACUUUCUCCUUAUUAUUUGUGGGUGUAGACAUUUCAUAUCUAUGUAAAAUCUUUGCAUUAUGAUUAUUUCUUUUAUAUUUACUACUUUUUGGGAUUUUUCUACCUUGCCAAUCUUCUUCUCUAAUGGUAACUUUUAGAACUUCAUUUAUACACUAAAUAGGAUUUUCUAUAGAUUUUAAUUCGAUCAUCAAGCAUUCAUGCAUGUAGCCUGGUAGCAUGCAGCAAUACGAACAGCAAGUGCUAGCUGGAGUCCUGGUUAUUGCUAAAGGAAUCAAUAUUCAUGUAGAGCGUGAUAAUAUUUUUAGCUAUUUUCCACUUAAGUUUCCGGAAAAUUCUUUAUUUUACAAACGAUGCACAUGCCUAAAUUCCCCGUUUUACAAUUUGUUAGUGUGGCAUCUGCUUGAAUGUCUUGUCUGAGAGGGGAGGCCGGCGCCUCCAUGAGUUACUAGUCUUAUAGGUUAGUUACGCAGUUGUUUAUGGUAAAGUAAUUAUUCUCAUCAUUAUUCAUACGAUUAGGAUGCGUAGUAAGUUUACAACCCUACAAAGCCUAUAAAUAUCAAAGACGAUUUGUAUGAAGAAGUGAACAUACAAAACCCCACACACUUAAAAGUGUCGAGUUCUGAAUCCUCCCAGUCAUUCAACCAACCAGUUGGCAACAGUUCAGUUUUCUUGUAUGCCAGGCUUUGUAGGAAAUCCUUAAUUAGGUCAUUAUGAAAGUAAAUUCCUGGUUAAUUUUACAAUUUUCUUAUUUUCUUUUGGCAUUAUAUUUCCUACUCCAUCGAUUCUUCUCGAAUUUUUUACCAUUACAUGGUGUAAAGAUCAACUAUGUUACUCUAUGUGACAGAGGAUCCAGACUACAUGGAUUGCCAGGGACAUGUGAGAGAAAAAACGUUAGUCCUGGGUAUGUUGCUGCAUUUGCAUCCUAUAUCAUCUAAGAAAUGACAAUUGCUUAGGAGUAAGAAUACUUGUAUUUUUCCUGAUCAGUUCCCUUUCCCUAUCCGUUCAUAAUUGCUUGACUGUUGUAGGAAUUGGAGUGGGAAUUGGAACAUUGUUUAUGCUUAUUGGUCUGUGGUGGUUGUACAGAGUAUUCAAGAGGAGGAGGAAUGAAAAACAGAGGAAAAAAUACGUCGUAUGGAAUGGUGGUUUAUUGAGAUCGUGACACUUGUCACGAUCUUAAGCAAUACUCAGAUAUACUCUAACAAGUUUGACAUACAGACACAAAAUUAAAACAUCUAGUAAAUAAUUUCAAUAUGUAUGAAAGAGUGGUUUUUCAUCUAGUGAUGAAGGAGCACCAAUAUCGAAGCUGGAAAUUGUUGAGGCAUAAGUAACAUCCCAAGGUGCUCCCAUCACUUCUUUUCUGUCAUAUUCAUUCUCUUGUUCGACGAUCAAGUUUUCGGAUUUUAUAAUCCUCUCCAACACCAUUGUGACUUCCUUCAUCGGAGGCCUUUCUUUCCCAUUUAACCUCAAGCAGCUCCUAGCCAAGCUAGCAACCAUCAACACAUCCUCUCUUUUCCCUUGCUUCAUAACCUGAGGAUCAAGAGUAUCAAACAGGCAGUUGCUCUCCAUGGCCAUUAUGAAAUAUGUGGCUAAACUUCUGCCUUGUUCUUCUGAUCUUGUGAACGAGAUUGCCUUCUGCCCAGUAAGUAGCUCAACAAGAACUACACCAAAGCUAUAGACAUCGCUCUUGUCUGUGAAUUGGCUUGAUUGGAAGUACUCUGGAUCCAAGUACCCAAAGGUGCCUUUUACUUGAGUUGUGACAUGAGUGUGGUCGAUGCUUACGGACCUUGAAGUCCCAAAAUCUGCAACUUUGGCUCUAUACUUCUCAUCAAGCAGGAUGUUUGUAGACUUGAUAUCUCUAUGAAAAAUGGGGAGGGAGGCUGCUGAAUGUAGAUAGAAAAGUGCCCCUGCUACCUCUGCUGCAAUCCUUAAGCGCAUUUCCCAAGUUAAAGGGAAUUCCUCGUUAGGGUCAUGGAUAAACUGGAAAAGGGUCCCAUUAGGAAUGAAUUCAUAGACUAACAAUGGAAGUUCAGUCUCUAAACAACAACCCAGAAGCUUAACCACAUUUCUAUGGUUAAUUUGGGAUAGAAGGACGACCUCGUUGAUAAAUUGUCUGAGAUUCCCUUCAUCAAUUACUUUGGAUUUCUUGACUGCAACGAUUUUUCCAUCCGCCAACAUCCCUUUGUAAACUGUUCCUUGGCCUCCAUGGCCCAGCGUUCUAUUCACAUUGUAAUGAUCAGUGGCCUUGUCUAAUUCUUUCGAAGGAAACAUUUUGAUUUUCUCAACAUUGACUUCACCUGAAGAUAGUUGUUCUUGCAGUAAGAGACCACCAUUCCUCUUAAAGUACUUUUUCUUUAGUUUUUCACUCCUCUUUCUCUUGAAUACUUUGUACAACAACCAUAAAACAAUGAGUAGAAACAGUGCUCCAAAUCCCACUCCAACACCUGCACAAGUCAACCAAUUGCAUUCAAUUCCUUUUUAGAGCUGAACUCAGAAAAACAAAUUCUGUCUGUUUGCUUGAGUAAUGGUGCAGUAUCUGCGAUUAUUUGAUGCUGCUGGGAUAGGAUUGGUGAUUUUGGGGUUGUACAGCUGCAGCAAGGGUCUAGAUUUUAUCUCUAACUUCCAUUUUGCAGAUUGUCUUUACUACUUAUCCAGGCAACAGAGUCUGUAUCCUAUAACAAAGUUGAUGGAUCAGUAAACCAUACAAUGGUAAACCGUGGCAGAAGAAUCUACAGAGCAGGAAUUGUAACCAGGGGUUAAUUUACCAUGACAAAUACCAGAAAGAUAAGGAUUUCCUUCGAAGCCUGGAUUGCAAGAACAUUGAACGGUGGAGCUCUGGUUGGUUGAAUAAAUGGAAGGAUUCACAAUCUUACACAUAGAAGUAUAACUUGAAUUAUAGAAUGAUCCAUUCUUAACAAAUGAUUCAAAUACCCUUUCGUCUAUCCCCCAAUCCAGCACUACGGGAACAUAUAUAGUCCCUAUCUCUUGUCGUAAUAAUAGUCAAAGUUCCCUCUGGCAUAAGAAAUACUACCCGUAGUUGAUCUGUGUUUGGGCAGUUAAAGAGGCAUAUGAGUAUCAAACUCAGGUCUCUAAUGGAGGGAACCAAGUAUUAGGAUGAACUGGAAAUAGAGACCGUGAUAUAGUAUUAAUAAUACUGCCCAUCACAGCCUCAUCUAAAUAGCAAGAACUAAAAAUUGGCACAUGUAUAUAUCCUAUCCAAAUUAAAAAUGAGAAACCAAAAAAACGAACAGUUACCUUUAAUGGCACAUGAAAGAUCUAUACACAAUAGUAUGUACAUGAACAUUGGGAUUCCAAAUGAAGAGGAUGAUAUACGAACUUACCGACAGCGACCUGAAUCACUGAUGAUAUAGUACGGAUGCAGCGUUCUCCAUCUAUUCUCCCAUCUCCAUAGUACCCCUUGGGGCAAGAACAUGUAUAAUUCCCUUCGGUGUCGAUGCAUAUGUGGCUGCAAUUGUGGGCUACUUUUGGAUCUGAACAUUCAUUAAUGUCUGUAGAAGCAUCAUAAAGAGAAGCCUUUAAGUAAAACUAUAGUAAAUUCUCAUAAUUUCAUGUAAUCCAAUUUCGAAAAAUCAGAUUAGAGAUCUCCUCGAAAUCAAUUACAAAUAAUUUAACUCUCUUCAUGCAAGUAAAAAAUUAUAAAAAAGGGGAUAAAAUGAAGAAAAAGAAAUGCAUACUUCGGCAACCAUUUGGGAGGUAUGGAUUUCCACGAUAGCCAUCUAAGCAUUUGCAAAUGUUCCCAAACCCAUUUUCAGGGUCAUGACAUUUGCUCUGUCCUAGACAUGCAUUAGACAUCUUGUUCUUUUCCAAGGUUUCGCAUUUAUUGCGCCCAAUACUCCAAUCCACUAUAACAGGAAGCUUACUUACUUUCUCAAAAUCCGACAGGUUACUUGGAAAAAAGCUGAACUGCUUUUCUUCAAUCAUGAAGGCAAAGCUGCAACGAUUGAAUUCCCAGAUUCCCGCAUGAUUAUUGUAACUAGACACGCUCACUUCGAAGUACCUCAUUCCUUUGGCAAUGGAGGUUUGGCAGCAACCAAUUCCGGAGCAUGUGUUUGGCACAUAUGUUUUGUCGCUACAUCCGGAAAUGCAUCCUACCAGGUAUGUAUCAUUCUUGACUCCUCGCGUACCUAGCAUUUUAGCUACAGUAUCACAGCCGAUAGCGACGAACAUAUUGUCAGUGUCAGAAAAAACGUAUGGACCUUGAACGGGUAGGUUUAUCCAGGGACUGUUUCUCGUUGUUCGUGCACCAGCCCGAUUAUAGCAGUCCUUAGCUAUAUCCUGCAUGAUGCGUAGCUUCCCAUCAAGGGUUAUUUCUGUGACCUCUAAGCUACCAUUUCCUAAAAACGGUUUUGGAGGAUUGAAAGUAUGGUUGCAAGUUAUGAGGAACUUAGAGUCGAAGUAGCAAUCUUUUCUGGUGCCAAAUGGAUAUGGGAUACUAAGAUUCCCACAUCUAUCUUGGCAUCCAGGUUUCGCUAUAGGAAUCUCUGUUGCUGCUGUAACUGCUGCUAACAACACUCCAGUUAUUGUGAACUGUAAGGCCAUUCCUCGAAUUCCCAUGACAGCUACUUUUCUGUUUAAUUAAAAUGGAGUCGGGUGGUACAAAACUCUCUAUGGCAGCUAGCUUUGUUAUUCACGGUCCAUUUUCUUAGAAAGAACUUCAAUCCCAUCAAGGUAAGAUGAUAAAAGGGUUGUUUGGAACUGCCUUAUGUUUCUAAAUUUUUUAAAAAACUUUUUGUUUAAAAUUAAUAUUUUUAUUGUUUUAAUAUGUCGAUAUUAAAAAUAAUUUUUUAAAUAAAUAAAAACAUUUAUUUUAAUAUAUUUUCAAAUAAAAAAUAAUAAUUAACACACUUAUAAAUAUUCUUUAAUAAUUGUUACUUAGCUCAUUCUCCACUAAACAUAGAACUCACUUAAGGAAAGAAAACACACCGAACGUUUUGCAAAAAAAAAAAAUUUUAUUUUUAUCUUCUUGAAUUAUUUUAUUUACUUGUCAUUGGAAAGACUUCAAAAAAUAAUUAAAUAUUAAAGUAUUUCUAAAUGAAAGAUUUAUUUUACAGAAUCAACAUAACACGGACUCAAAACUUAUUAAUCAAGAAAAGUCCAUUUCCAUGUAAAGAUUUUGGUUCAAUAUUUGUUUUAUUUUUUUCCUUUUUGAUUUUUCUUUUUUGAAACUAAAAAUGAAUUUGAUAUUUACACAUUUAAUGUUAUUUUGUAAUUGAUUGAAACUUCGAAAUGAUUUUUAUUUUAAAAUAAAAUGAUGAAAAGACUCUAUCAAAAUAUUAAUAAAUAUGGAAGAUCUAAAUUAUGAAAAACAAUUAUGUUAAAAAACCAAAAAUCAUAAAAUAAUUUUCUAUAUUAAUAAAAAAAAUAUAUAUCAUGUUGUAGCAUUUAAUUUAUGUUAUGAAAUAGAAAAGAUAAAUACAAAUGGGAUAAGAAUAUACUUUAUAGCAAGGACGGAGAUAAAAACCAUAAAUUAUAUGUCUGAGAGACAGAUUUAAGCUAAUUUUUAUCCCUCCAAAAAGAAGGAAUGGAUGGAAUAUGGGCUGAGGACAACAUUUAUUAUUAUAGAAAAAAAACUGUGCAUUAUUUUUAAAAUUUUUUUUGAAUAUAUGAGAUAUCUUCUAAAUAACUUGCACAUCACUUAAAAUUAAAUCUUUUCCGAUGAAAAAAAAAUUCAAGUAAUUUCGGAUGAAGUUUUAUGCAUGUUUUGGAUAAUUAAUUAAUCUUUUGAUAUUGAUAAUCUAAUUUUUUUUUAAUUAAGGUGAUUAGAGAAGGGUGUCGAAUACCUACAAAAAGUUUUAUUUGAUAAAUUUAGGGACUCUCUGAUGAUUAAGUCAGUGACUUUUUGAGAGAAAAUACAAUAAUAUUAUAGAGAGAUACUCUGAAAAUAAUUAUGUAGUAGAGAAUGAAAAUUUUGAAUAUUUUUUUGUUAAAGUAUUCAUGGUCUAUUUAUAGCACAUGAGUCUUUUUUAUGGAAAAGAGAGGUUAAAGCGUAAUACUACUCUGAUGAUUUUAAUAAAAAAAAAUAUUAUUGACAUAUAUAUUAAUAUUGAUGGAAAAUAUCUCUGAUAUAAGUAUUAAUAUUGAUGGAAAUAUAGUGGUCACUUAGAGAACUUUUACACACUAUCCCUUACUUAAUAAUAAUAUAAAUGAAAAUAUAGUGGAAUCUAGAAGAAUUUGAUAUAACUAAGGGUGUAAAAAGAAUAUGAACAAAAAUGUAGUUGUGUCCAUGGAAUUAGGUUAUUCCUUUGAUUGAACCCAUAAAAAGUGUUUUUUGAGGGUGUUUUUAGACCCAUUAAAUCUAAAUUUAUCACUUCUAUUUAAAAAAAUUUAAAUACAGACCUCUCACAUCAGUUUAUUACAUUUAAAAAAAGUUUAAUAUGAUCAUGGCUUUUCUAUUAUCUUCACUCUCCGAGACCCGAUAUUUUAGUCCACUUCAUUAAAGAACUGCCAUUGCUCGAGCUUUAACAAGGAAGGCUGGGCUUAGGCUACUCGAUGAAGCAACAAGUGCACUAGAUGCUGAGUCUGAGAGGUCUGUCCAGGAAGCCCUGGAUCGUGCCUGCUCAGGAAAGACCACAAUUGUUGUUGCACACCGGCUAUCAACUAUAAGAAAUGCUCAUGUCAUUGCUGUGAUUGAUGAUGGUAAAGUAGCAGAGCUAUGCCCGCAUGAUACAGUUACAAAUGCUCAUGUCAGGAUUCCACUCGCAUCUAUUGAAAAAUUAUUCUGAUGGGAGCUAUGCCCGCAUGAUACAGUUACAAAUUAAGGUUCACACAUAGCGAAGUCAUUGGAAUGACCUCAGGUUCAAGUUCACGGAGCAAGGAUCCCUUGUGCAUGUGGUUUGUCGCAACUGCUUUCACAAAAAGAUGCCCAAUGUCGGAAGAUAAUUGAGAGAAAGGUGUCCAGGCUUGUGCAAUUAGGCUACAAGGGCUAUCAUGCCAGUGGCAAUGGAUGUAGACCGGAACAUAUUCCUGGCGAUUCGAAAUCAUCCAAUCUUGAGCUUAAUAGGAUGCCUAUCUAUUUAUGAUUUGGUUUGUAGGGAAGGAAAUUAUUGAGUGUCAAAGUUCACAUGCAUGGUGGUUGGUUGCACAUGUGUGUCAUUUGAGUGUCCAAGGACAAGUACUACCCCAAAGAGGGGACCUCGUUGAAAUCAAUAGACCACGCUCCUUCGACCAUUAAUUAGUAGAAGCUGGUGGUAAUGGUGGUGGUGGACAAGCGGGAGACAAAAGUUUAGGAUACGGCAUUUGGAAAAUGACAAAAAGGGAGAUGAUAAGAGAGUUAGAUCAUGGCCUCAUGGGAUGCUCUGUCCUUGUGUUCAUUGCGCGGGCCAUACCCAAUCUCUUUCCAUUAAAGAAAUACAAGGACGUUAGCCUGCACAGAUGGGCUUUAAUGGCGCUCUUGUUUUCAAGUGCUCAAGAGCAUUAUGCUUUUGGGACACGGGAUGAUGACUCUCUGUUAACAAGUAACGACUUCAACAGCUGUUUCAAAUUACGGGCAACUAGAACACACAAUUACAAAAAAAAUGGAGGAAAGUGCUACAAGUCUAAAACCAAUACCACAAGCAUAUUUAAGUUUGACAUACAAACACAAAAUUAAGACAUGUAGUCAAUAAUUUCAAUAUGUAUGUAAGAGUGGUUUUUCAUCUAGUGAUGAAGGAGCACCAAUAUCGAAGCUAGAAAUUGUUGAGGCAGAAGUAACAUCCCAAGGUGCUCCCAUCACUUCAUUUCUGUCAUAUUCAUUCUCUUGUUCGACGAUCAAGUUUUCGGAUUUUAUAAUCCUCUCCAACACCAUUGUAACUUCUUUCAUCGGAGGCCUUUCUUUCCCAUUUAACCUCAAGCAGCUCCUAGCCAAGCUAGCAACCAUCAACACAUCCUCUCUUUCCCCUUGCUUCACAACCUGAGGAUCAAGAAUAUCAAACAGGCAGUUGCUCUCCAUGGCCAUUAUGAAAUAUGUGGCUAAACUUCUGCCUUGUUCUUCUGAUCUUGUGAACGAGAUUGCCUUCUGCCCAGUAAGUAGCUCAACAAGAACUACACCAAAGCUAUAGACAUCACUCUUGUCUGUGAAUUGGCUUGAUUGAAAGUACUCUGGAUCCAAGUACCCAAAGGUACCUUGUACUAGAGUAGUGACAUGAGUCUGGUCGAUGCUUACCGACCUUGAAGUCCCAAAAUCUGCAACUUUGGCUCUAUACUUCUCAUCAAGCAGGAUGUUUGUAGACUUGAUGUCUCUAUGGAAAAUGGGGAGGGAGGCUGCUGAAUGUAGAUAGAAAAGUGCCCUGCUACCUCUGCUGCAAUCCUUAAGCGCAUUUCCCAAGUUAAAGGGAAUUCCUCAUUAGGGUCAUGGAGAAACUGGAAAAGGGUCCCAUUGGGAAUGAAUUCGUAGACUAACAAUGGAACUUCAGUCUCUAAACAACAACCCAGAACCUUAACCACAUUUCUAUGGUUAAUUUGGGAUAGAAGGACGACCUCGUUGAUAAAUUGUCUGAGAUUCCCUUCAUCAAUUACUUUGGAUUUCUUGACUGCAACGAUUUUUCCAUCGCCAACAUCCCUUUGUAAACUGUUCCUUGGCCUCCCUGGCCCAGCGUUCUAUUCACAUUGUAAUGAUCAGUGGCCUUGUCUAAUUCUUUCGAAGGAAACAUUUUGAUUUUCUCAACAUUGACUUCACCUGAAGAUAGUUGUUCUUGCAGUAAAAGACCACCAUUCCUCUUAAAGUACUUUUUCUUUAGUUUUUCACUCCUCUUUCUCUUGAAUACUCUGUACAACCACCAUAAACCAAUGAGUAGAAACAGUGCUCCAAAUCCCACUCCAACACCUGCAUAAGUCAACCAAUUGCAUUUAAUUCAUUUUUUAGGGCUUAACUAAGAAAAUCAAAUUCUGUCUGUUUGCUUGAGUAAUGGUGCAGUAUCUGCGAUUAUUUGAUGCUGCUGGGAUAGGAUUGGUGAUUUUGGGUGGUACAGCUGCAGCAAUGGUCUAGAUUUUAUCUCUAACUUCCAUUUUGCAGAUUGUCUUUAUUACUUAUCCAGGCAAUUGAACAUAGUUAAGUACAGUGUUGUAGUUUGUCUCCAUAUUCUACUUUAUUCAUGUCAGUUAUGAAAAGAGAAUUUGAUUAUUAAAAAACAGCAAGUUAAAUUUUAAUUUUUUAAUAUAUAAUUUUGAUGGUCUGCUUUACUAAGUGUAUAAAUUUUAUUUUUAAUCUUAUGUGGAAAAAAAAACUUUAUUACAAGCAUUUUCAAGAAAGUGUACUUUUUUACUUGAAACUAAUUAUUCAUACAUUUUUCAAGAAAGCAUUAUUUAUACCAGGGAAAGAAGAAAAUUAUGAAACAACGAUCUAAUUACAAAUAAAAUUUGAAAAGGAGGGGACAAAAAUGAAUACUUUAGAAAGAUAAAUCGUACUCAAUCUUCAUGAGUAAUUGUUUAAAAUGGCAUCGACAAAAAUUUCAUGCCGUUGGUGCUUGAAUAAAUUGAUUGAUUUGAUUUAGUCCAUCGGUUUACUUAAAGUAAUAAUGACGAAUUAUAGAAUCACAUAUAUCAUAGUUGUACAAAUGGAAUAUUUAAAACUAGAGUAGUAUAAGGUUGUGUUUGGGAAUGGUUGAAAUCGUUUUCCAUUAAAUUUUAUUUGUUUUUAUUUUUAGAUUAUUUUAAUGUGUUGAUCUCAAAAAUAAUUUUUAACAAAUAAAAAAAUAUCAUUUUAAUAUUCUUAAUGAUAAUUUUUUAAAAAUAAACCGCAAACGCUACUACAAUCCUAAAUAUGCCAGAAGUUCAGAAAGUAACAUGUGGUAUGAGAAAGAAGGGAGAUAUUCUUAUUAUUUUGAUGGUUCAUGAAAAAAAUUUUCUUUGUAUUUUUUUUAAGUGGAUAGUAUAAAAUGACUAAUACAAUGUCACUAAUUAUUUUUGAUGCAUCAUAAAAUAUCUUGUAUAUAUACACAUGUCGCAUGAUAAUUAUAGAAAUCACAAAAUGAUGUGUUGUUUUUAUUGUAAACAUGUAUUGUUCAUUCUCUCAUAUUUUAUUGUGAAUUUACUUUCAAAUUUGUUUAUGUUUUUAUUUUGGUCCCCAAAACUUCUUUUUGCACAAUUGCAUCCUUUUUGACAACAUAAAAGGACAAUUGAAUCAAAUUUAUUGACUAAGGUCAAAAUUAAAAGUCAUGGGAUCAAAGUAGAAAAAAGUUAUACCUAUUCGGUCCUUAAAUAUAUUUUUUUGUGUUUUCAAAGUUAUCACAAAAAAAUCACUUUAAUUAGUCCUCGAACCUCACAUGUUAUACCUAUUCAGUCCUUAAAUAUUUUUUCAAUUCAAUUUUAGUACAAAAUUUAUUAUUUUUUAUUUUUUAGUCCAUGGUUUGAGAGAAAAGAGAGAGAGAGAUCACCGGAUUUCAAUUGUAAAAAGAAAAAAAUAUUGUUGGCAUCGAUUUCGACCAUCAAAACGGUCGAUUUUUAUGUCAAAUGAUUUCAUUUGAUUAGAAAAUUUUAAAAUAUAUGUUUUUUUUUUACCUUGAAAGUGCCUAAAAAACAUAUAUGAGAUUGAGAAGAUUUUUUUUAUUUCGGAUUGAUUUCAAGUUUUUUGAUAGUUUUAGAGGUCAAGAAUAGAUUUCACAAGGCUCCUACGGUGUUUUCUAGGUAUAUUGGGUAAAAAAAAAGGGGGUUAAAAUAGGUUUUUAGAUAAAAAAUAAAAACCCUUCAGUUGCGUUUUACUGACCAUUAUAGUGGCCGGAAUCUGGGCAAAGUCAAACGACGCGUCAUGUGACACGUGUUGUACCACUAUGUAAAAGACAACUCUCCGCUUCCAACACCAUCAUUAACAAUGACAUCUGAAUAUUGAGAGGUGCUACACACGCCGCCCAAAUAGCAUGAGCGCCUCCAACUUUUACAUUUUUUAUUAUUUUAAUACUUGUUCAAAGACCUAAUUGCCCCUCAUUUUAAUUGACAAUAACAAAAAAACAGUAUGGAAAAAAUCCAAAUAGCCCUAAUUGUCAGUUUUACUUCUGAGAAAUGUAAGGGCAAAGAGGUUAUUUAACUGUGCAUCUAAAAAUGAAAAAUACCAAAAAACCCUUAUACUUAGCUUUAUUUUUUAAAAAUUUAUAAGGGUAUAUUAGUUAUUACAUUGUUGAUGAAAAAUGUAAAAGUAUUUAUUUAAAACCAAUAAAUAUGACAAUGACAAAUAAAUCCCAUGUAAAAUACCUUUAUACCCCUUCGACCAUGUUUUUUGAGUUUUUGAUGCAAUGAAAACAAUAUUUUUACUGCUCGAAUAAAUAACUAAACUCUUUUAGUUUCUUUUUUUUUUUUUAAAUAAAAUCGUCAAUUAUGACAUUUGGAGCACUGUCAUGAGACAAGCCAACAACAUAGUUUUCCUCUAAUCAAACAUAACAAUGCCAGUCAAUUGUUUUCUUGACCCAUUUAAGUGUGACAUAAUCUAUGGUCAUUUCUAUCAUGAUGAUAUAGAGUGAAAAUGCAACAACAUACCUAGGCCUGCCAUUUUAGCUUUGAUUUUACGCCGGUAAUGGACGUAUGUUGUACCCUCUGCAACACAUGGAGAAACCACAGAGUUGAUGGAUCAGUAAAGCAUACAAUGGUAAACCAUGCCAGAAGAAUCUAUAGAGUAGCUAGGAAUUGUAACCAGGAGUUUACCUUGACAAAAACCAUAAAGAUAAGGAUUUCCUUCGAAGCCUGGUUUGCAAGAACAUUGAACGGUGGAGCUCUGGUUGGUUGAAUUAAUGGAAGGAUUCAGAAACCCACACGUAGAAGAAUAACUUGAAUUAUAGAAUGAUCCAUUCUUGACAAGUGAUUCAAAUACCCUUUGGUCUACCCCCCAAUCCAGCACUACGGAAACAUAGUCACUAUCUCUCUUGUCAUAAUAAUAGCCAUAGUUCCGUCCGACAGAAUCAUACUCCCCGGAGUCCAUCAAACUUUGGGCAGUUAAAUAGGCAGACCUGCAUUUUUUUUCCCCACUGCUUCCUUUUACACCACGUAACCGUAGCAUGUUUACAUUAAAACCCUUGAGAAAUGAAGGAAUCCUGGUCUGGCAACAGUUGAUCCCACUGCAGCCCAUAUAACUUUUUUCGUCACAAAUUGGCACACACCCACCAAUAAUAGAUUGAUUUUGGGUCAUCGUGGCAAAAUAGCCACAACCCGUUGCAAUGAAGUAAUUCUCGGAGGAGAAAACAAAAGGGCUUCCUUCCAAGUCAAAAACUGUGUUUCUAUUUCUGUCUCCACAAUUUGCAAAAACAAUUGGAAACAUGACCCUUAUCAUACUGCGACGAACAGAGAUGUAUCUCACCUCCAGAUCAUUGCCGUUUACAGUAAGUUUAGGAGCUUGACUACUGGAGGUGCAGAGUAUUUUGAAACUUUCGUCUAGGUAACAUCCUUCUUCCAUUCCAAAUGGAUAUGGAAUAUCAACGCCUCCACAGUUAGAUAGACACCAAGGAAAUUUUACAACCUUGAUUCUGCAGUGAUCAAUGACCAGAACAACACUAUGACCUGAAACACUAUUAACUCAACAGCUGCCAUAUUCUUUUUCUUCUUCUUUCAGACAGUAGCUUUUUAGAAGAGAGAAGCUAUAAAACGGGCUCUUACUUGGCAAGUAACCCAGCCAUAUAUUAAGUUAUCCAAGGUCUUCUUCUUCUUUCUACUAAUUCUUUCUUUCUUUGUUUUUUUCCUCUCGCCUUCCACGAGUAGAAAGUUCAAAACCAAAGUCUUUAGAACCACACAAAGAAUUAAGCAGCCAGACUUGACCGAGUCAGUCAACUACACUAUCCUAUACUAUAGUGGGUUAUAAUUGCAUCAUCGGUCUAUUUUUGCCAAUGGGACUCUAUCUUCUCUUGAAGCUACACUACCACUUUUAUUAGAGGUUGCAGGUUCAAUUCCUCGAAAGGGAAGUCAAUCUCAAUUGCUAAAGCACAAAAACAAAUAAUAAAAAAAUCAUUUUCUUUGUUUAUUAAUUUGAACUUGAAAUUUUUAUUAAAGGUUCUUCAACAUUAAAUUUUCUAGCUAUUUCCUAAAGUGUAUAUAUAUAUAUGAGUAAUCAAAUUAAAAAAUCUACAAAUAUUUAAUGCUAACACAAGCCUGCACAAAUCUAAACUACAUUUUUCUACUUUGAGACGGUAGCUUUUUAGCAGAGAGAAGGAACAUAAACGGGCUUUUACUUGGAAAGUAACCCAGCCAUAUGUUAAACUGUCCAAUCUAUGUUAAUUUAUUUCUAAAAUUAAAAAAAAUUUAAUUUGAUCCUCCUUCAAUGUUUUAAUAUUUUAUUCAUUUUCUUUUGAUUAUUUUUUUUAUUUGAGAUAAUUUUUUAAAUUGAUUUUUUUUCGAUUUCACUCUUCUUUAUAUUUUUCUUUUAGAUUUGAUGCUCAUUUUUUUUAUUGUUAUUUUUUUCUUUGGUAAAUUUUUAAAUUGAAUAUAUUUUUGUUGAUUUCAUUCAUCAACAUUAAAUUGAUUGAUAAUUGAAUUUCUUAAUUGAACUUAAGUCUACUAUUUCAUUUUAUGGGUUGUAAAAUUAAAAUAUUAGCUUAUAUUUAGAAAAUUUUCAUCAUUUUAUUCUUAAAAAAAAUUUCAGACUGACUCUCCGCUAAUGAAUUGUGUGUUAAUGAGAUGACUAGACUUGGCCACUUGUUGAGGGGUUGGGGGUGAUUUCCAUCCUAGUAGAAGAAUAAGCACCCUACCAAAAUAGGAAGUACUAGGAGAAUAAUGUAUAAAAACAAGAGGUGUAGUAGAGUGUCUAGAGGGAAGAGUGUGUACAACAGGGUAGGAGGGAAGAUUGCGUGGAGCAGGAGAAGAAAUACCUUUUAAUUAUGCCAUGUAACUGCAAAAUAAGUUAUUGAGUGUAGGUGCCACACUAUACCCUCUGUAACACCUAGAUAAACCACAGAGUUGAUCAGUAAACCAUGCCAGAAGAAUCUAUAGAGUAGCAAAUGUAACCAGGAGUUUGCCUUGACAAAUACCAGAAAGAUAAGGAUAAUUCCUUCGAAACCUGGAUUGCAAGAACAUUGAACUUUCUCCUUAUUAUUUGUGGGUGUAGACAUUACAUAUCCAUGUAAAAUCUUUGCAUUAUGAUUAUUUCUUUUAUAUUUACUACUUUUUGGGAUUUUUCUACUUCCCCAAUCUUCUUCUCUAAUGGUAACUUAUAGAACUUCAUUUAUACACUAUAUAGGAUUUUCUAUAGAUUUUAAUUCGAUCAUCAAGCAUGCAUGCAUGUAGCCUGGUAGCAUGCAGCAAUACGAACAGCAAGUGCUAGCUGGAGUCCUGGUUAUUGCUAAAGGAAUCAAUAUUCAUGUAGAGCAUGAUAAUAUUUUUAGUUAUUUUGCACUUAAGUUUCCGGAAAAUUCUUUAUUUUACAAACUAUGCACAUGCCUAAAUUCCCCGUUUUACAAUUUGUUAGUGUGGCAUCUACUUGAAUGUCUUGUCUGAGAGGGGAGGCCGGCGCCUCCAUGAGUUACUAGUCUUAUAGGUUAGUUACGCAGUUGUUUAUGGUAAAGUAAUUAUUCUCAUAAUUAUUCAUACGAUUAGGAUGCGUAGUAAGUUUACAACCCUACAAAGUCUAUAAAUAUCAAAGACGUCUUGUAUGAAGAAGAGAACAUACAAAACCCCACACACUCAUUCAACCAACCAGUUGGCAACAGUUCAGUUUUCUUGUAUGCCAGGCUUUGUAAGAAAUCCUUAAUUAGGUCGUUGUGAAGAUAAAUUCCUGGUUAAUUUUACAAUUUUCUUAUUUUCUUCGGCAUUAUAUUUCGUACUCCAUCGAUUCUUCUCGAAUUUUUUACCAUUACAUGGUCUAAAGAUCAACUAUGUUACUCUAUGUGACAGAGGAUCCAGACUACAUGGAUUGCCAGGGACAUGUGAGAGAAAAAACGUUGGUCCUGUUUAUGUUGCUGCAUUUGCAUCCCAUAUCAUCUAAGAAAUGACAAUUGCUUAGGAGUAAGAAUACUUGUAUUUUUCCUGAUCAGUUCCCUUUCCCUAUCCGUUCAUAAUUGCUUGACUGUUGUAGGAAUUGGAGUGGGAAUUGGAGCAUUGUUUAUGCUCAUUGGUCUGUGGUGGUUGUACAGAGUAUUCAAGAGGAGGAGGAAUGAAAAACAGAGGAAAAAAUACUUCGCAUGGAAUGGUGGUUUAUUGCUGCAAGAACAACUGUCUUCAGGUGAAGUCCAUGUUGGGAAAAUCAAAUUGCUUACAUCCAAAGAACUAGACAAUGCCACAGAUCACUACAAUGUGAAUAGAAUGCUUGGUCAGGGAGGUUGGCUGAUGGAAAGAUCAUUGCAGUUAAAGAAAUCCAAAAUUCUUGAAGGGAAUCUCAGACAAUUUAUCAAAUUAUUGAGGUGGUCAUUCUUUCACAAAUUAACCACAGAAAUGUGAUUUAGCUUUUGGGCUGAAGUUCCAUUGUUGGUCUAUGAACUCAUUCCUAAUGGGACACUUUCCCAGUUUCUCCACUACCCAAAUGAGGAGCUCCCAUUAACAUGGGAAAUGCGCUUAAGGAUUGCAACAGAGGUAGCAGGGGCACUCUCCUACCUGCAUUCAGCAGCUUCGAUCCCCAUUUAUCACAGAGACAUCAAGUCUACAAACACUGUUGUAAGCAUUGACCAGACUCAUGUCACAACUCUGGUACCUUUGGAUACUUGGAUACAGAGUACUUCCACUCAAGCCAGUUCACCGACAAGAGUGAUGUAUAUAGCUUUGGUGUAGUCCUCGUCGAGCUACUCACUGGACAAAAGGCAGUAUCCUUUAGCAGAUCGGAUGAUGAAGCCAGAAGUUUAGUCGCAUGAAAGACAACCAUCUGUUAGAUAUUCUUGAUCCUCAAGUCAUGAUGCAAGGGAAGAAAGGGCAUGUGUUGAUGGUUGCUACCUUGGCUAUGAGUUGCUUGGGGUUAAAUGGGAAAGAAAGGCCUCCGAUGAAAGAAGUUGAUUAAAAAAAAAUCACUUAGGAAUCAAAUUUCAGAGAAGGAUUUCAACAUUUCACACGAGAUUGAAAUAUGAUAAUGGUUAUGAAGUAAUUGAUGUUCAUUGGGACCUUGCUUCUACCUCAAUAGGCUUUGGUUUUGACAAUGGUGUUGCUUCUUCAAAAGAAACAACACUACUCUUGUACACAUUUAGAAUUCUUUUUUCUUUUUUGUAAUUUUAUGUUUUGUUGUAACCAAAUAGUUGCUCCUGAUCAUAUGAAUAAUAUAAAGAAUUUUUUUUAUUUUCCAUUUUUUUAGUAUCCAUUGUUCUUGAUAGUAUCCACAACACUAUCAAGAACAACGUUCGUACGUAGAUUUAUUUGGUGAUAUAUGUAUCCUUGACUGGUUCAAGAUGACGCACUCCAUGAGCAUGCUGUGUUGGUCACAGGCAUUCAUUAUCAGUCAAGAAUGGCUCCUGGAAUAAAUAGAGUUUCGAAACUUAUUCAAAUAUUAAUUUAAACCUUGAAAAGUUAUGAUACCGCAAGUCCAGUGAUGGUAAGAAGGAAAUCAUUUGACAUUUCUAUAAUUUCUAGCAUUCACGCGUUAUGAUUGAUUAAUUUCAUUGCAAGAAAUUAACCAAGAUAUUUCUUUCUUUUCUAGAUGAAUGGACAAUGAAUACGUCAAAAAAUUAAGAAUUAAUUCAUAAUUACAUAAUUAUAUAGUUUAUCAGAACUAAUAAUUAAUGAGUCCUUUAGUAUGAAAAUAAUUACAUAAUUCUUUCACAAAUGUUUUUAAUUUGGCACUUUUAUUUUCAAAAAUCUCUUUUCUUCCUAAUCAAAUUUUCUCAUCCUAGACAUUACACAUCUUUUCUUUCUUUUUAGGCCUUGUUUGUUUCCCGGAAAGUAGUUUCCGGGAAACCAUUUUCCAAACUUUUCUGUGUUUGUUUGUCAUUAGAAAAGUUGGUCAACGGAAAACAAUUUCCGGUCAGCGGAAAACACUUUCUAGUCAACAGAAAACAGUUUCCGGUCAACGGAAAACACUUUCCAGUCAAUUUUAGUCAAAAACAUUAUAGUCACCGAAUCUAACUUCUCUUCCAUUAUCAAGGUCUUCAUCAAUUCUCCCUUCGAGAAAUUAUAGUCACCGAAUCUAACUUCUUUGCAGAAAUCAUCACUCCAUCAGAUCCUUGAUCAUACAGAACCCAACUGUUCCCCUUGUGCCGUCAUCUGCUAGUCUUCACCAGUUUCAUUACAAACUGUUACAUAUACGAAAAUAGUACCGUAUGGAUAAUCCUUCAACUAAGCAAGUUCCCAAUAGAGAUUGGAGGGGUCACAACGGUCCCGCUUAAAACCCAAUCUCCUAGCCAGAACUUCCUAAGCCAUAUUUAUCCAUCGUACUGCCUUUCCGUAUAUACAACCAUUUGAUAGCUUUGUCGCGGAUUUCUUUUACAAGUGAUCUGGAAUAUUUUUGUUUUAUACAUGAUUUCUCAACAUCUAGCGAGACUACUAGUGCUUAGAUUCAUCAAGAUUGGUCUUCAUCAAUUUUCACUCUCCACCUCAAAUCAUCCACAUGAUCGGGUGUCUAGAGUAUCGCCAAUUUUGCCUUCCUUUAAGGCAAUUAAAUUUCCCCACUAAACAAUUCAGCACACAUAAUUGGGCAAAUGUGUGCAACUUCUUCUUCUUCUUCAUCUCCAUCAACCACCAUCAAGACCUUCAAAUGCCUCUUGAUCGAGCAAUCUCUCUUAAUAAUUCACCACCACCACUUUCGGUCUCAAAUCUUAACAAACGGACCAUACCAUUGCAUUCAGAAUGAUCAAAUUAGCUGGAAAUAAGUCUGAAAUCAUCCAAAUCGCAUUUCAAACGGCUAAGAUUUGAUCAAAACAAUUUUGACCUCAUGAGCGGCCCAGAUUCAAUCUCAGAUCCGGUUGCACAAAGACUCCACUACAUGGAACCCAAUCCCUCAACUCGCGGCUCGGCUCCACCCGACUCGGCUCAAUCGAGGCUGAUGACAUGGCAUGUGGGUCCCACUAUGCAGACGUGUCUGCUGACUGGUCGCUGCCAUGACAUGCCAACUAUGCAUGCUGAAGCAUUGAUUACAUCAUGAUGAUGUCAUCCUCCAUCCCACUCAGUAUGUGGGUCGGCUCAUCUGGUAUUCGGGUCUGGUCGGGUCAGCCCAUCCGAACGAAGAAGACACGUGCGACACGUGGCCAUCCAAUUCGCCGACGCGUGGGGGCGCAUGCGGCCAUGUCCGACGUUCGAUUUUGACGCAGCUUUCACCAGUGACUUCAUCUCUUCCGCCUCUAUACGAUGGUUUGGUCAAAACACAAUUUUGACAACUUUCAUUUUUGAGCAAAAAUCAAACACCACUUUAAACCAUAUGCUCUGAUACCAAUUGUUGGAGAAUCCGACCGGUGAUGUAUUGACAGUUGCCCAUUGGAGGCUAAACACACUGACACAAUAUUUAACAUGGUUUGGAAAACCGCCUACAUCCACAGGAGAGGUCCAUAUUAUUCGAGAUAGAGAAAGGAUACAAAACAAAUACAUGGAGGAGGAGGAUCACUUAACUCAAACUCGACAACCCAGCUUUCAUUGCUGCCCUUACAACUCCUCUCAUUCUCUCUUAUUCUCUUCACAUGCUCUCUACACUCUUUCAUUUUGCUCUCAAAUAAUGCCUCUAUUUAUAGGCAUCAAUGGUAAGACAAGAUGCUAUCAAUUAUGAUACAAAUGGUGGCAGCACAUGGGUUGCACCAUUUUUGUCAAUGAUUUGUGCAAUUUCCAUUGUAGCCUUUUAACAAUAUAUAGCAACCCUACUUCUUAGGAUAGAUGCACAUGUUGUUGCCUAUUAAUGGCAAUAUCCCAACAAUUAAGAAUCUCAGCAUCAAUGGUAUCAUCUUCCAAUUCAAUGAUGUUCCUCUUUUCCCUAAUGCAUUGCAGGGCAGAUUCGCUACAAAGAGACGCAAGAUCUGCCUCAAAAUACCCCUGAGUUCCCUUUGAGAUCUCUGUUUGUUCGGUUGCUAGCAAUAACCCUUUUGAGGCAGCUUUUCCUUCCGAAACUGACCUUAGCAAAUGAAUGCCAAAUUAAGAUCUUAAACGAGGUAGUUUUAGUGAAAGGAAUGCUAAAACAAGUUCAUUAUUUGUACGCAGAUAAAAACUAGUUCAUUAUUUGUCAUUAUCUGUGACUCGCAAUAAGCAAUGGAUCAUUAAAUGACCCCAACAACAGCAUCACCCUUUUCAAUACAAAGGUAUCGUGUCUCGCGUCUAUGCAUUCAUUUUAUGUAACUGGAAGAUUCCAGUUUACUGGGUUUGUUUUUGUGGCAACAGAGGUUUCUUUAUGAUCUUCAUGGUUAGAAGACCCGGCCUCAUGAGUGCAGGGUCGAUUGUAUCAGGCCUGUUGGUAGCACCAAUUACGAAGACGGUUUUCUUUUCUGAUAAACCAUCCAUAUCUCAGUUAGGAGUUGGUUCAAAACUCUAUCCGCGGCACCACCAGCAUCUCGUACACUGUUUCCUCUUUGAAUAGCAAUGGAGUCAAGUUCAUCGAAAAAUAGGACACAAGGAGCAGACUGGCGUGCCUUGUCCAAAACAUCCCUUGCAUUUGCUUCACUCUCUACAAACCACAUCGUUAGAAGCUCAGGACCCUUGAUUCUGAUGAAAUUAGCUUGACAUUCAUUGGCAAUAGAAUUAGCCAGCAAUGUUUUGUCACAGCCAGGAGGACCAUAGAAAAGAACUCCUUUAGAAGGUGACAUGCCAAACUUCUCAGGAUGCUCCACCGGAUAUUGAACAGUCUCUUGAAGCUCCAUCUUGACCUUCUCAAGACCACCAAUAUCCUCCCAUCUAAAAUUGGGAAUUUCCACAAUGGUCUCACGAAGAGCAGAAGGAUUGCUGGUUCCGAGAGCAAUGUUGAAAUGCUUAUUUGUAACAGCCAUGGAAUUAAGAAUCUCAGCAUCAAUGGUAUCUCUUCCAAAUCAAUGAUGUUCCUCUUUUCCCUAAUGCAUUUUAGGGCAGAUUCACUACAAAGAGACGCUAGAUCUGCCCCAAUAUACCCCUGAGUUCCCUUUGACUAGUUUUUCCAAGUCGACAUCUUCAGAGAGCUUCAUCUUCUUUGUAUGGACACGAAGAACCUCAAGGCGACCAGCUUCAUCUGGAACACCAAUAUCUAUUUCUCUGUCAAACCUUCCAAACCUCCUCAAUGCAGGGUCUAGACCGUUAGGCCUGUUUGUAGCUCCUAUCACAAUAACAUGGGCACGGGCCUUUAGCCCCAUCCAUGAGAGUCAGUAGUUGUGAAACGAUUCUUCUUUCUAUUCGCCACCAGUUUUCUCACGUUUGGGAGCAAUUGAAUCAAUCUCAUCAAUAAAUAUAAUUGCCGGGGCAUUCUUUUCAGCUUCUUCAAAAGCUUUUCUGAGAUUUUGCUCACUCUCUCCUGCCAUCCUGGACAUGAUUUCUGGUCCGUUGAUACAAAAGAAGAAAGCCCCAGUUUCAUUAGCAAUAGCCCUCGCUAUCAAUAUUGUUUUACCAGUUCCAGGAGGACCAUAAAGCAGAAUUACUUUCGGUGGCUUCACACCAAUAAUGGUCUUGAAAAGUUGAGGAAACCUUAAUGGCAGUUCAACCAUUUCCCUGAUCAGUGCCAAUUGUUUCCUAGCACCACCAUUAUCAUCGUAGCGAAAUCGAUCAAGACUUUCCUCAUCUUCCCUCUUUACAGCUUCCCCUUCACAGAAGAUCUCUGUAUCAGGCGCAACCACACAGUACUAAGCAGGAUCCGCCCAGUGACCUUGAACUCCACACUCUUCAUUCCUGCUCUGAUGAGGUAAUCAAACAGACUACCAUUAAGGCCUUCAACUGUGUCAUCCAAAGGCAGAAUAUGAACCCUCUUGCCAUACCGUAAAUUCGGACAUACCUGCACCGAAACCAUAUCACCAAGCCUGACCCUUAAGUUUGACCUCACAAUCUUAUUCAUCAAAAUCUUGGACUGAUCGCAGCUAUCAUCAGCUAAGGCAGUACAAACUGUACCCCUCCUCUUCUUUCCCUUGAUCAACAAGUUAUCUCUGCGGAAAAUAUCAAGUUGCUCCAUUAAUGUAGCUGGAUUGAGUGUGAUGACAGAGUUGUCAUCGUUAAUGGCUUCAUCAACGAGAAGCCUGCUGGGUGCCUUCUUGCGAUCCAUGAUUGCAUAACUAAAACCUCUCUUUCUUUUGUUUGUGCCCGCCUGAUCUCUCUUAACCCAAAGAGCGAGCAAAUCUUUUUGAAUGAACAAUAAUGUCGAUACCACUGUGUUUAUAAACAAGUCUCUAGUCCCUUUUACGUACGCGUUGUUUAUGGAAUCAGACAAGUGCUCGGAUUUUAUAGAAAUUAUAUCUGAUUUAGGUUUCCGCUUCUAUUCGGUUUCAAGCCCUAUAUGUUUCUUGUUAGAAUUAGGAUUUCAAACAAAUUUUUUUUUUUUUUUUGUUAAUUUCAAACAAAAAUUUUAAAACCUGACUGGGGCUAACAUAUAGAUAUUUUCAGGGCUUAGCCGAUUUGUUUAUCCUAUUUUUUUAUAACCUGGUCUGGGUCAAGUUUUCAGCCAGUUAUAUCCCGGCCGGUCGAUCUAUCAUGCCAAUCUAGAUUUUAAAACAAUUAUCCUUUUUUUUUUUCUUUUGCUUAUUAAGAUUUUUUUUUUAAGAAAAAAUAAGUAGGCCAUAAUAUAAUUAGUGUCUGAGGAGUUUCAAUUAAUAUAAUCCAUGGGGCUGUAGGACAUUAACAGUUCAAUAAUUUCACCAUUGAAAGGAAAAAAUAGAAACGUAAUACCUCAAUUAAUAGUUGGGAAAUUGACAAGGAGGGAAAUAUAUUCAUAUUUUUUACAUGGAUUUAUGAGGUCGAGGACCUCGUAUAUUUUACAUAGUAUACAGGUUCGUCCCUCAUCAAAAUUAAUAAUUUCUUAAUCCAAUAUCUAUUUUAAAAUAAUAAAUAUUUUUAUUCUUUUUUUACUCAAGUACUGAACUUACCAGUAAUUUGAUUUUGAAAGAAAUCAUAGACAGGUGUUUAAGCAUUCAAAAUACUUUUAUAUUUCAAAACUUGACAAUAUAAAAGGUUACAGAAUUUAAUUUGAGGAAACGAAAGUCAGCGUAGGAAAUAUAUUUUUUUUAUAUAAAAAAAAUGAACAUUUGAAGCUGAAACCAUAAUCAAUUUCGUCAUUAAAAUUUUUAAAUAAAAAAACUACAAAACAAGUUUUCUUGAAUUUUUUCAACUCUUCAUUUUCUGGUCACAUAUUUUACUUCUUAUUUUAAUUUCUAUUUUAAUUUAAUUUAGUAGAAAAAAAGAAAGCAAAGAAAGAUAACAAAGAGAAGGAAAACGAACGAAAAAAAAAAGAUUAAAAAGAAAAGAAAAGGAGAAAGAUAAUGAAAAUAAAAGAAGAAAAUAAAAGCAAGAGAUGGAAGCCCAGAUUCACAUCACCUAACUAGAGUCUGAAUUCAUCUUUUAUAUUGUCAAGUUUUGAAAUAGCAUAGCAUUUCAAGCAUAACAAAAAAAAAAAAAAAAAAAGCAAAAUAGAGGGAUACACGCGCGUGCGCACACCGUAGUAUUAGAAUAAUAUAUACAUGUAUAUAUAAUUUCUUCAUUUAAUAAAUAGAUAUACCUCAAAUAUAUACAAAUCUUUUAUUUUAUAUUGAAUAAUAAAUAUUUAAAAUACUAUAAAUAAAAUAUAAAUAUAUAAGUUUUUUAUUUGAUAAAUAAUAAACAUAAUAUAGAUAUAAUAGAAACUCAACCCCUAAAUACUAAUAGCUAUAUAUAGCUCGAUAGCAGACUCCAAUUAUGUGGAAUUAGAAAGUCCUGCCAUUACAUAUAUAUGGCAGUCCAUUAUAUUUUGAUGAAAAAAAAACUAUUAGGGUGUGCUAUCAUCAAUGAGCAAUUGUCAUCUUACGGAGUUGAAAUUCUAUAUAUUUAAAAAAUAAGAUUCCGUACCCCUUCGGAAUGGAAGCAGGCUGCUACCUGGAUAAGAGGUUCAGAAUACAUUGCAACUCCAACAUGACUCCGAGGCUUUCUAUAAAUGGAAUCAAUCUAGAGGAGUUGAACAUCCCUGUUGACGAAGGCACAAUUCACGUCAAAUUUCCGAUUUUCUAUUCAAGUAAUUGUCGAGGCAAAGAAAGCAAUCCAGUUAUUGUGAAUUUGGAAGGAAGCCCUUUUGUCUACUCAGAAAAAUGGAACAGAUUUGUUGUGGUGGGUUGUAACAACAUUGUCUUGAUGACCCAAAAUGACUCAAUCUAUGGUGGGUGCAUGUCUAUUUGCGAUGAGAGCAGCAACUCUGCUAGAAAUCAUGCGAGUUGCAAUGGCAUCAACUGCUGCCAGAUGAGAAUCCCGUCGCAUCUAAUGUCUUUCAAUGCAGUAUUCAAGGAUCUUGACGGUGGUCAAGGUAGAGGCAGGGAUCCAUGCAAGCAUGCCUAUUUAAUUAGUAGAGCAAAGAUGGUUCCAUGAUAGGCUCAAUAGUAGUCUUGAGACCCCUUACUCGGUGACAGAUAUGGACUCUGUGCCUGUGGUGCUGGACUGGAUGAUAGAUUUAUUGGAUAUUGAAAGGAAUGGAUUAUUAGCAGAUAAUAAAACAUGUCAUUUUCAUGUUAACAAUUACGAUAACAUUUAAAGCAAACAGAAAUCCUUAUCUUCCUGCUGCUUGUCCAGGUAAACUUUCUCUCUGUCACGAAAAUGGAAGCCUUGUAAAUAGAAUUCAGGGGCUUCCAUUUUUGUUCCAUUUUCUUCUUACUGAAAACAAAUUAUUACUGGAUUACUUAGGGCUAAUAUCUGUUUCUUCGUCUAUAUAUAUGGAUAUAUUCAGAUAUCAAUGAAUUUGAGGACCCUCGUUUCAACGAUUGUUGGAAGAACAUGGUCUGCGUAAAUUUUGAUGCUGGAUAUGGCUGCUUCCCACCCGAAGUCAAGAAGUCUCCGGUUAAAAUUGUGGUUGUAGGUAUGCCCCUCUGCCCAACAUAUAACAUAUUUUUAUCUUACUGAGCAUCAAGAAUUCUCUACAGAGCAUCGCAAGGAAUUGUUUGCAAUAUGGGAAUAUAUUUAUUUCUUGAUUCAUGCAGGUAUUUGUGCUGCCCUUGGGGUGUAGUUUCUACUUUACAAAGUUGCAAAGAAGAGUAAGGGGAUUGACAAACUCAAGAAGAAAUUCUUCAAACAGGAUUAUGAUUUAUUGUUACAAGAAGGGUUGCCCUUAGCAGAAGUCGAUGUUGAAGAAAUGAUGUCUCACGUAGAAGAGGCUGAUCCCACUAUUUAAAUCCAUCCUAAAAGUUUUGGAAUGAUACAUAUUGAUUACAGAUUGUUGGAAAAUUCAUGGAAAGAUAAUGUAGGUUCUGAAACUCAUUGCUGAUGUUGAGUGUAAAAAAAAUCUGUCAAGCCCAUCUCACCUUGGGCUGGUCUGGGCUGCGAUCACCUUUCCUGGUCCAGGCCCAGGCGAGGUGAAACUCCCCAUGCAUGAGCGAGACUCGCCCCGGCCUGCCCUGUAUAUAUUCUUUCUUCCUAUUUUUUUACACAUUUAUUUUAUAAAAUUAUAUAAACCAUUCACCAGUAAUUUUUUCUACCGCUUACGCACUACAAUAAUAAUAUCUCUCCAUUUAUUAAUACCCUGAUAAAGCAUCACUCUACAAAGUAAACUACACCAUUCACCGUGUGUUAUUCACGGUCCAUUUUCUUAGAAAGAACUUCAAUCCCAUCAAGGUAAGGGGGAUUUUAGGGUUAUUUGGAACUGAGUUAUGUUUCUCUAAAUUUAAAAAAAAAAUUGUUUAAAAUUAAUAACUUUUAUGUUUUUUUAUCGCUUUAGUUAAAAAUAAUUUUUUAAAUAAAUAAAAAAAUAUUUUAAAAAAUAAUUGUUAUCACACUUAUAAAUACUUUUUAAUGAUUAUUAGUCAACUCACUCUCCACUAAACAUAGAACUCAUUUAAGAAAAGAAAACACAUCGAUUUUUUUGAAAGAAAAAAAAUUAUUAUUUUUAUCUUCUUAAAUUAUUUUAUUUACUUGUCAUUGGAAAGACUUCAAAAACUAAUUAAAUAUAAAAAAAUUUCUCAAUGAAAGAUUUAUUUUACAGAAUCAACACAACACGGACUCAAAACUUACUAAUCAAGAAAAGUCCAUUUCCAUGUAAAGAUUUUGGUUCAAUAUUUGUUUUAUUUUUUUCCUUUUUGAUUUUUCUUUUUGACACUGAAUAUGAAUUUGAUAUUUACACAUUUAAUGUUAUUUUGUAAUUGAUUGAAACUUUGAAAUGAUUUUUAUUUUAAAAUAAAAUGAUGAAAAGACUCUAUUAAAAUUUUAAUAAAUAUAGAAGAUCUAAAUUAUGAAAAACAAUUAUGUUAAAAAACCAAAAAUCAUAAAAUAAUUUUCUAUAUUAAGAAAAAAAAAGAAAUAUAUCAUGUUGUAGCAUUUAAUUUAUGUUAUGAAAUAGAAAAGAUAAAUACAAAUGGGAUAAGAAUAUACUUUAUAGCAAGGACGGAGAUAAAAACCAUAAAUUAUAUGAUUUUUAUCCCUCCAAAAAGGAGGAAUUGAUGGAAUAUGGGCCGAGGACAACAUUUAUUAUUAUAAAAAAAAAACUGUGCAUUUUUUUUUUGAUAAUUUGAAUAUAUGAGAUAUCUUCUAAAUAACUUUCACAUCACUUAAAAUUAAAUCUUUCCUAUGAUAAAAAAAAAUUCAAGUAAUUUGGGAUGAAGUUUUAUACAUGUUUUGGAUAAUUAGUUAAUCUUUUAAUAUUAAUAAUCUAAUUUAUUUAUUUUAAUUAAGGUGAUUAGAGAAGGAUGUCGAAUACCUGCAAAAAGUUUUAUUUGGUUAAUUUAAGGACUCUCUAAUAAUUAAGUCAAUGAGUUUUUGAGAGAAAAUACAAUAAUAUUACAAGGAGAUGUUCUGAAAAUAAUUAUGCAGUAGAGAAUAAAGAUUUCAAAUCUUUUUUGGUUAAAAGAUUCAUGGUCUAUUUAUAGCACAUAAGUCUCUUUUAUAAAAAAGAAAGGCUAAAAUAUAAUAUUACCCUAAUGAUUUUAAGGAAAAAAAAAUAUUAUUGACAUAUAUAUUAAUAUUAAUGGAAAAUAUAUCUAAUAUAAGUAUUAAUGAGAAAAAAUAUAUCUGAUAUAUAUAUUAAUAUUGAUGGAAUUAUAGUGGGUACUAAGAGAGCUUUUACAUAGUAUCCCUUACUCAAUAAUAAUAUAAAUGAAAAUAUAGUGGAAUCUAGAAGAAUUUGAUAUAACUAAGGGUGUAAAAAGAAUAUGAAGCAAAAUGUAGUUGUGUCCAUGGAAUUAGAUUAUUCCUUUAAUUGAAUCCAUAAAAAAUGUUUUUUGAGGGUGUUUUUAGACCCAUUAAAUCUAGAUUUACCACUUUUAUUUUAAAAAAAUUAAAAGACAUACCUCGCACACCAGUUUAUUACAAUUAAAAAAAGUUUAAUAUGAUCAUGGUUUUUCUAUUAUCUUCACUCUUCGGGACCCGAUAUUUUAGUCCACUUCAUUAAAGAAUUGCCAUUGCUCGAGCUUUAACAAGGAAGGCUGGGCUUAGGCUACUCGAUGAAGCAACAAGUGCACUAGAUGCUGAGUCUGAGAGGUCUGUCCAGGAAGCCCUGGAUCGUGCCUGCUCAGGAAAGACCACAAUUGUUGUUGCACACCGGCUAUCAACUAUAAGAAAUGCUCAUGUCAUUGCUGUGAUUGAUGAUGGUAAAGUAGCAGAGCAAGGAUUCCACUCGCAUCUAUUGAAAAAUUAUCCUGAUGGGAGCUAUGCCCGCAUGAUACACUUACAAAUUAAGGUUCACACAUAGCGAAGUCAUUGGAAUGACCUCAUGUUCAAGUUCACAGAGCAAGGAUCCUGUUAAACAAUUGACAUUUUUUAACUCUAGUGUUUCAUGUUGUUUGAUCAAGUAUUGUCUGUUUUCUUUUCUUUCAUUUCUGUUUUGAUCUUGUCAAAAUAAAUCCCUUGUUUUUCUGAAGUUGUUGUUGAGAUUAGUGGCAGCACAUUGUCCACUACAAUUGUUAAGUUUUCUCAUGUAUUUAAAGACAUGCAGUUAAUGAAAUACUCACUGAGACAUUUCAUCAAACACCUUGUGUGUAAUUCGUGUUCUUCAAAAUCCAGCAUUUGUUGUUCUUGAUUGUGCAUCCCUUCACCUGCACAAAACACAACAACACAAUUCUUAACAGUGGUAUCAGAGCAUCUCAGAUCUUACAGGACCAAAACACCUUUUUUUCAAAAUCUCAAAAAUGACAUCCAACAACUUACUUUUAAACUCCCACAUUAUAUUCACUGGCGAAAACUACCAUAUUUGGUCAGUGAAGAUGCAAGCUUUUCUUGAAGCUUAUGAUCUUUGGGAAAUUGUUUCCGAAGACAAACCAGUAGCUCCCUUACCAACAAAUCCCACUAUGGCUCAAAUCAAGUUCAGCAGUGAGGAAAAGGCAAAGAAAUCCAAGGCAAAAUCAAUCAUCCAGAAUUCUGUGGCAGAAAGCAUUUUCUACAGAAUUAUGGCAUGCAAUUCAACUAAAGAGGCUUGGAACAAACUAAAAGAAGAAUACCAAGGCAGUGACAGAACAAGGCAAAUGCAAGUGCUGAAUUUGAAGAGAGAUUUUGAGGCACUUAACAUGCAAGAAGAUGAAACAAUCUCCAAGUAUUCUGAUCGAAUUUCACUAAUUAUCAACAACAUCAGAUUACUUGGAGAAGACUUUCCUGACAGUAGGAUUGUGGAGAAGGUUCUUGUGACUCUUCCUGAGAGGUUUGGAUCCAAAAUCUCCUCUCUAGAAGAAUCAAAGGACCUCAGUAAAAUCUCAUUAGGUGAACUAAUGAGUGCUCUUCAAGCACAGGAGCAACGAAGAACAAUCAGGCAAGACAGAUUGACCGAAGGAGCCUUUUAUGUGCAAAAACACCAAGCUGGAAAAGGAAAGAAGUUGCCUAAUCUGAGAUUCAAAGGCAGAAAUGAAGGGGGCAGCACUAGUGAAGCUUCAAAACAAAAGAAGUUUCCUCCUUGCACUCACUGCAAAAGAAACACACAUUCAGAAAAAUAUUGCUGGUGAAGGCCAGAUGCAAUUUGUGGAAAUUGCAAGCAAUCAGGGCACAUCACAAAGGUCUGCAAGUUUAAAAACUCAGAUCCAAAACCUCAACAAGCUCACCUAGCAGAUGAAGUUGAUACACAGGAGGAGCAAUUCUUUGUUGAGUCAUUUAUACCUGAAAUCAGUCAAAAUUUGUUGAGUGUUGGACAAAUGAUGGAGAAAAACUAUUCUCUUCAGUUUAAGGAUCAUAAAUGCAUUAUCUUUGAUCCUUCUGGAGAACAAGUGUUCUGUGUAAAGAUGAAAAACAGAAGCUUUGUUGUUGAUUGGGAUAAAGUAUCCAAUCAUGCAUAUGUGAGUGCUACUCAGGAUGUUUCAAAUCUUUGGCAUAAAAGAUUUGGACAUUUCAAUCAAAAGGGCUUGUCAAUUCUGAAACAAAAGGAAAUGGUUGAAGCAUUGCCCACAUUGAAUGGUGAGAUUCAAUUGUGUGAAACAUGUCAACUUGGCAAGCAAUCAAGGCCACCAUUUCCUAAAAGGCAAGCAUGGAGAGCUAGCCAAAACCUUCAGCUCAUCCACACUGACGUGUGUGGACCUAUGAAGACAGCCUCAUUAUGUGGUAACAAGUAUUUCAUUCUCUUUAUUGAUGAUUAUACUAGGAUGUGUUGAGUGUAUUUCAUCAAAUUUAAGAGUGAAGUAUUUACAAUCUUUCAAACAUUCAAAGCUUUAGUUGAGAAUCAAAGUGACAUGCUAAUUAAAUGCUUAAGAUCUGACAAUGGUACUGAAUAUACCUCAAAUCAGUUUCUUGAGUAUUGCAACAGCAGAGGCAUUGUGCACCAGUACACUACACCAUACACACCACAACAAAAUGGUGUAUGUGAGAGGAAGAACAGGACAGUAAUGGAGAUGGCUAGAUGUCUCUUACUUGAAAAGAAAAUGCCAAACAAAUUAUGGGCAGAAGCAGUCAAUACCUCUGUUUACUUGCUGAACCGACUUCCAACUAAAGCACUGGAGGACAAGACACCAUACGAAGGCUGGAAUGGUGUUAAACCUGUUGUAGAUCAUCUUCGAAUCUUUGGCAGCAUAUGUUAUUAUCAUAUAGCUGAGCCAAAGAGGAGCAAACUUGACAACAAAGCUCAGAAGAGAGUUCUUGUGGGUUAUGAAAUAACAACCAAAGGAUACAGAAUUCUUUGCUUACAAACAGAGAAGGUAAUUCUCAGCAGAGAUGUGAAGGUUGAUGAAGCAAUCACAUGGGAUUGGGAACAUCAGAAAAAUAUUAUUUCUGAUCAACCAUUCACCAUUCAGCCUCAGCUGGUAGCUGAUGAAUCAGUGGAUGAUUUUCCAGUUAGAGGCACAAGAUCAUUGGAAGAUAUUCACCUAAGAUGCAACAUGGCAAUUCUAGAACCAACCAGCUAUACUGAAGCUCAAGAAUUUCCAGCAUGGAGGAGAGCAAUGGAGGUAGAAAUGGAAAUGAUCAACAAAAAUGCAACAUGGCAGCUGAUUGAAAGGCCUAAGCAUCGCAAGGUGAUAGGUGUAAGAUGGGUUUUCAAAACAAAACUCAAUUCAGAUGGGUCAAUAUGCAAACACAAGGCUAGAUUGGUGGUAAAGGGCUAUGCUCAGCAAUAUGGUGUGGAUUACCUAGAGACCUUUGCUCCAGUAGCAAGGUAUGAUACUAUUAGACUUCUUAUUACACUUGCAGCACAUAACUCUUGGCAGAUUCACCAACUUGAUAUCAAGUCUGCCUUCUUGAAUGGAUUUCUUGCUGAAGAAAUCUUUGUAGAGCAACCCGAUAGGUAUGCUGUUAAAGAUAAAGAAGAGCAUGUGUAUCUACUUAAGAAGGCCUUGUAUGGGUUGAAACAAGCUCCCCGAGCUUGGUAUGACAGAAUGGACACACAUCUGCUUCAACUUGGGUUCAGCAGAAGCCAAAAUGAAGCAACUUUGUAUGUGAAAUCCUGUGGUAACCAUUUUCUAAUUGUAUCUAUUUACGUAGAUGAUAUGCUCAUCACAGGAAGUGAACUUGGAAUGAUCCAAGAGUUCAAAGAUGAAAUGAAGAAGAUGUUUGAGAUGUCUGACCUUGGAAUGAUGAAUUACUUCCUUGGAAUGGAAGUGAUGCAAUCCAGCAAUGGCAUUUUUACAUGCCAAAAGAAGUAUGCUUCAGACAUCCUAAAAAGAUUCAAAAUGGAGGAUUGUAAACCAGUGGGGACUCCUAUGACAACAAGUAUCAAGCUUAGCAAGGAUGAUGAAUCUGAAAAAGUGGAUGAAAGUUUGUAUAGAGGCUUAAUUGGGAGCCUUCAAUAUCUCACAGCAAGUAGACCUGACAUAUUGUUUGCUGUGAGUAUUCUUUCAAGGUUCAUGCAUUCUCCAAGGGAGACUCAUUUUAUUGCAGCAAAAAGGAUACUUAGAUACAUCAAAGGUACCAUUGAUCUUGGUAUUUUCUGUCCAAGAUCAUCAGAAGGGGCUGUGGAACUAAAAGGCUAUACUGACAGUGACUGGGGAGGCUGUGUUGAUGAUUCAAGAAGCACUUCAGGGUAUUUAUUCUCACUCAAUUCAGGUGUCUUCACCUGGAGUUCAAAGAAGCAAGAGACAACAGCUCAAUCCACUGCAGAAGCAGAGUACAUUGCUGCUGCCGCUGCUGUCAACCAAGCAAUUUGGUUGAGGAAAAUGUUAAAGGAUUUGGGACAUGAACAGGUUGAAGCUACUAAAAUCAUGUGUGAUAACAGUUCUGCAGUAUCAAUUUCAAAGAAUCCAGUCUUUCAUGGACGUACAAAGCAUAUCAAAAUCAAGUUUCAUUUUAUUAGAGAAGUUCAACAAUCUAAUGAAGUGAUGCUGAUUCAUUGUUCUUCCGAAGAACAACUUGCAGAUAUAUUUACCAAACCACUACCUAAAGAGAGAUUUGAGACAUUAAGACAAAUGAUUGGAAUUUGUCGUCAAAAUGUCAAGGAGGAGUGUUAGACAAUUGACAUUUUUUAACUCUAGUGUUUCAUGUUGUUUAAUCAAGUAUUGUCUGUUUUCUUUUCUUUCAUUUCUGUUUUGAUCUUGUCAAAAUAAAUCCCUUGUUUUUCUGAAGUUGUUGUUGAGAUUAGUGGCAGCACAUUGUCCACUACAGUUAGUGGCUGAUAACUAGGGAGGUUUGUUAAAUUUUCUCAUGUAUUUAAAGACAUGCAGUUAAUGAAAUACUCACUGAGACAUUUCAUCAAACACCUUGUGUGUAAUUCGUGUUCUUCAAAAUCCAGCAUUGUUGUUCUUGAUUGUACAUCCCUUCACCUGCACAAAACACAACAACACAAUUCUUAACAGAUCCCUUGUGCAUGUGGUUUGUCGCACCUGCUUUCACAAAAAGAUGCCCAAUGUCGGAAGAUAAUUGAGAGAAAGGUGUCCAGGCAUUCCCUGCAUUUUUCAUGUACGAUUAGGAAAUGUGCUCCUAUCACAAAAAGUGUCUGCUUUCAAAUGUCAAUCAAAUCAUGCAAGGAAUCCUGAUCAUGUUUGCAACAAUGAUCGAGGGCUUGUGCAAUUAGGCUACAAGGGCUAUCAUGCAUGCCAGGAUUCCACUACUCUCCGACUUUUACUGAUGGAAAAAGAAUGGACCCAAUGACAAUGGAUGUAGACCCGAACAUAUUCCUGGCGAUUCGAAAUCAUCCAAUCUUGAGCUUAAUAGGAUGCGUAUCUAUUUAUGAUUUGGUUUGUGGGGAAGGAAAUUAUUGAGUGUCAAAGUUCACAUGCAUGGUGGUUGGUAGCUAGCACGUGUGUCAUUUGAGUGUCCAAGGACAAGAUAGCUCCGUGCGAAACAAGGACAAGUACUACCCCGAAGAGGGGACCUCGUUGAAAUCAAUAGACCACGCUCCUUCGACCAUUAGUAGAAGCUGGUGGUGAUGGUGGUGGUGGAUAAGCGGGAGACAAAAGUUUAGGAUAUGGCAUUUCGAAAAUGACAGCGGGAGACAAGGACGUUAGCGUGCACAGAUGGGCUUUAAUGGCGCUCUUGUUUUCAAGAGUUCAGAGCAUUAUGUUUUUGGAGGGACACUGGAUGAUGACUCUCUGUUAAUAAGUAACGACUUCAACAGCUGUUUCUAAUUACGGGCAGCUAGAACACACAAUUACAGAACAAAUGGAGGAAAGUGCUACAAGUCUAAAACCAAUACCACAAGGAUAUUUAAGUUUGACAUACAAACACAAAAUUAAGACAUCUAGUAAAUAAUUUCAAUAUGUAUGAAAGAGUGGUUUUUCAUCUAGUGAUGAAGGAGCACCAAUAUCGAAGCUGGAAAUUGUUGAGGCAUAAGUAACAUCCCAAGGUGCUCCCAUCACUUCAUUUCUGUCAUAUUCAUUCUCUUGUUGGACGAUCAAGUUUUCGGAUUUUUUAAUCCUCUCCAACACCAUUGUGACUUCCUUCAUCGUAGGCCUUUCUUUCCCAUUUAACCUCAAGCAGCUCCUAGCCAAGCUAGCAACCAUCAAUACUUCCUCUCUUUCCCCUUGCUUCGCAACCUGAGGAUCAAGAAUAUCAAACAGGCAGUUGCUCUCCAUGGCCAUUAUGAAAUAUGUGGCUAAACUUCUGCCUUGUUCUUCUGAUCUUUUGAACGAGAUUGCCUUCUGCCCAGUAAGUAGCUCAACAAGAACUACACCAAAGCUAUAGACAUCACUCUUGUCUGUGAAUUGGCUUGAUUGGAAGUACUCUGGAUCCAAGUACCCAAAG
rnacentral:lncRNA from 1 species